GUGCUGACUUUGACAGCACAUAUACUAGAAUUGGAACCAAGCAGAGAAGAUUAGCAUGGUCCCUGCCCAAGGAUGACAUGCAAAUUUGUGAAACAGUCAGUAUUUAA